rnacentral:tRNA from 9 species
UGCGGGGAUGGCGGAAUUGGCAGACGCGCAGGACUAAGGAUCCUGUGACCGCUUUAGGUCGUGAGGGUUCAAGUCCCUCUCUCCGCAUAGG